GAGCGGCGGACGGGUGAGUAACGCGUGGGAAUAUGCCCUUCUCUAAGGAAUAGCCUCUGGAAACGGAGAGUAAUACCUUAUACGCCCUUUGGGGGAAAGAUUUAUCGGAGAGGGAUUAGCCCGCGUUAGAUUAGGUAGUUGGUGGGGUAAUGGCCUACCAAGGCGACGAUCAGUAGCUGGUCUGAGAGGACGAUCAGCCACACUGGAACUGAGACACGGUCCAGACUCCUACGGGAGGCAGCAGUGGGGAAUUUUGGACAAUGGGGGCAACCCUGAUCCAACCAUUCCGCGUGAGUGAAGAAGGCCUUCGGGUUGUAAAGCUCUUUCGCAAGAGAAGAAAACUUGCUAUCUAAUAAAUAGUAAAUAUGACGGUAUCUUGACAAGAAGCACCGGCUAACUACGUGCCAGCAGCCGCGGUAAUACGUAGGGUGCAAGCGUUAAUCGGAAUUACUGGGCGUAAAGCGUGCGCAGGCAGUUUUAUAAGUCAGAUGUGAAAUCCCCGAGCUCAACUUGGGAACUGCGUUUGAAACUGUAAGACUAGAGUGUGUCAGAGGGGGGUAGAAUUCCAAGUGUAGCAGUGAAAUGCGUAGAGAUUUGGAGGAAUACCAAUUGCGAAGGCAGCUUUCUGGAUCAUUACUGACACUGAGGAACGAAAGCAUGGGUAGCGAAGAGGAUUAGAUACCCUCGUAGUCCAUGCCGUAAACGAUGUGUGUUAGACGUUGGAAAUUUAUUUUCAGUGUCGCAGGGAAACCGAUAAACACACCGCCUGGGGAGUACGACCGCAAGGUUAAAACUCAAAUGAAUUGACGGGGACCCGCACAAGUAGUGGAGCAUGUGGUUUAAUUCGAAGAUACGCGCAGAACCUUACCAACACUUGACAUGUUCGUCGCGACUCUAAGAGAUUAGAGUUUUCGGUUCGGCCGGACGAAACACAGGUGCUGCAUGGCUGUCGUCAGCUCGUGUCGUGAGAUGUUGGGUUAAGUCCCGCAACGAGCGCAACCCUCACUUUUAGUUGCCAUCAUUAAGUUGGGCACUCUGAAAGAACUGCCAGUGAUAAGCUGGAGGAAGGUGGGGAUGACGUCAAGUCCUCAUGGCCCUUACGUGUUGGGCUACACACGUGCUACAAUGGCAUCUACAACAGGAAGCAAAACGGCAACGUUAAGCAAAUCCCGAAAAGAUGCCUCAGUUCGGAUUGCACUCUGCAACUCGAGUGCAUGAAGCUGGAAUUACUAGUAAUCGUGGAUCAGCGUGCCACGGUGAAUGCGUUCCCGGGUCCUGUACACACCGCCCGUCACACCAUGGGAGUUGGUUCUACCUUAAGGCAAGGUUUUAAACCCUUGACCACGGUAUAGUCAGCGACUGGGGUGAAGUCGUAACAAGGUAACC
rnacentral:rRNA from 1 species